CGCGACCCCAGGUCAGGCGGGGCUACCCGCUGAGUUUAAGCAUAUCAAUAAGCGGAGGAAAAGAAACUAACGAGGAUUCCCCUAGUAACCGCGGGCAUACUAGGGAAUU
rnacentral:rRNA from 1 species